UCUAUUUUAAUCCGCCAUAAAUUUAAAAAAAGAAGAGCGUCUUAGUGAGAAGACCGUGAAAUAUCUCCGGGCCGUGGGUCCACCUGAGCUACUGCAAACUGAGCUACUACAAACGGAGAUACAAUCCACGUUGAAGACGCUUUGGGGGUUUCUAAUUAUGUGGACACAGAAUCCAGGGCGUCCAGGUUCAAGUUAAGGGCCCCGUAUAGCAGUUAUGGGGACGGCAAAGAUCCUCGGCCUCGGUCACGUUCACCUGUUUACGGGCGUGACGGACGUGAUGGACGCGAGCCUCGAGAAGGGCGUAAUGGACGUGAUGGACGUGAGCCUCGGGACAGCCGUGAUGGGAGGGACCCAGGUAGAGAGCCAAGGCCGGGUGGCCACUCUCGUGACCUUGAUUACCGAAGCUCAGAGAGCAGAGACAAGGACCUCAGAGGUGAUUCGCGGGAUCCUGCAUACAGCAGAAGUGACUAUGACCGAUACUACCGCAGUGGCAGUGGUGCUGAAGACUAUUACCGGAGGAAGGAUGAACCCUACAGGGACCCUUACAAAGAUCCCUGGAACGGACGGCGUGAACCAGAGGGUAUGUGUAAUUGUUUUAA